rnacentral:rRNA from 1 species
GUACGGGGGGGGCAAGCGUUGUUCGGAAUUACUGGGCGUAAGGGCUCGUAGGUGGCCAACUAAGUCAGACGUGAAAUCCCUCGGGCUUAACCGGGGAACUGCGUCUGAUACUGGAUGGCUUGAGUUUGGGAGAGGGACGCGGAAUUCCAGGUGUAGCGGUGAAAUGCGUAGAUAUCUGGAGGAACACCGGUGGCGAAGGCGGCGUCCUGGACCAACACUGACACUGAGGAGCGAAAGCCAGGGGAGCAAACGGG